rnacentral:rRNA from 1 species
AUGAAUAACCUGUCCAUUACGUCGGAACUGUACCUGGAUGGUAACAAAUUCGAAGGGACGGUGCCUCGUGAUCUGUCAGGAGGGACUCUAAUGGUUAUUGAUUUGCAUGACAACGAGUUAUCUGGCAAACUUGAUAUGUCAUUAUGGAAUAGGUCUUCCUUGAAAGUCCUGAAUCUUGCUGGCAAUCAUAUAACUGGCAAAAUUCAUCCACAAAUUUGCAGCUUUACCAGACUUGAACUUUUAGAUAUAUCGAGCAACAAUCUUACAGGGUCGGUACCGAACUGUAGCUGCAUGUUGCUCCAUUUUCUUAACCUGUCUGGGAAUUCCUUAUCUAGCCAUAUUUCCUAUCCCUUCUUCAACAUAUCAAGUCUGAUUGCCUUGGAUAUCAGAAACAAUCAGUUUGCAGGCAACCUCCAUUGGAUAUGUUAUCUUGAUAACAUUAGGCUUCUUUCCUUGGGCGGAAAUAAGUUUGAAGGGCAGGUCACUCCAAACUUGUGUGAACUCUUGCACUUGAGGAUAAUUGACUUGUCUCAUAACAAGCUUUCAGGUUCAUUACCCUCAUGUAUUGGUAAUUUCUUUUUCAAAGGUGACAGGGGCGAUCAAAUUUUCCAGGUAGUAUUAACGAGUUUACCGUACUCACUUAAGCCAUAUGACAAUCCUUAUGGCUUGAGAGGUUUUAGCUUUACUACCAAAGGGAAUAUGUACACAUAUGGUCGAAGUUUCUUUGUUUCAAUGUCCGGCGUCGACCUAUCUGCGAAUAUGCUGCAUGGAGAAAUUCCUUGGGAGUUAGGAAACAUGAGCCAUAUCAAAUCCCUUAACUUGUCAUACAAUUUCUUUGUUGGCCCGAUCCCAGAGACCUUUGGCGGCAUGGAGGAGAUUGAAAGCUUGGACCUCUCACACAAUGAGCUGAGUGGACCAAUACCUUGGCAGCUAGUGCGGUUAUGUUCAUUGGGGGUGUUCUCUGUGGCAUACAACAACUUGUCAGGAUGCAUACCGAACUCUGGUCAGCUUGGCUCAUUCGGCAUGGAGAGCUACCUAGCCAACACCAACCUUCACAAGAUUACGCAGGGGAACAUGUGCACUCCCAGCCUAGACCCCAUAGCGGAGGAAGAUGUGUGUGAGAUGUUUGGUGACCCAAUCCUAUACAUGGUCAUGGCUGCCGGGUUUAUUUUGGCAUUUUGGGCCACUGUUGCUUUUUCAUUAUUCCAUCCGUACGGGACGUCUGUAAUGUUCAAGCUGUAG